rnacentral:rRNA from 1 species
GACGAACGCUGGCGGCGUGCUUAACACAUGCAAGUCGAACGAAGAGCGAUGGAAGCUUGCUUCUAUCACUCUUAGUGGCGAACGGGUGAGUAACGCGUAAUCAACCUGCCCUUCAGAGGGGGACAACCGUUGGAAACGACUGCUAAUACCGCAUACGAUCUAAUCUCGGCAUCGAGGAUAGAUGAAAGGUGGCCCCUACAUGUAAGCUAUCACUGAAGGAGGGGAUUGCGUCUGAUUAGCUAGUUGGAGGGGUAACGGCCCACCAAGGCGAUGAUCAGUAGCCGGUCUGAGAGGAUGAACGGCCACAUUGGGACUGAGACACGGCCCAGACUCCUACGGGAGGCAGCAGUGGGGAAUCUUCCGCAAUGGACGAAAGUCUGACGGAGCAACGCCGCGUGAGUGAUGACGGCCUUCGGGUUGUAAAGCUCUGUUAAUCGGGACGAAAGGCCUUCUUGCGAAUAGUGAGAAGGAUUGACGGUACCGGAAGAGAAAGCCACGGCUAACUACGUG